CCCUUAGAUGUUCUGGGCCGCACGCGCGCUACACUGAUGCAUUCAACGAGUCUAAAACCUGCUCUGAUAGGGGUGGGUAAUCUGUUGAAUGUGCAUCGUGAUUGGGAUAGAUGAUUGCAAUUUUUCAUCUUCAACGAGGAAUGCCUAGUAAACGCAAGUCAUCAGCUUGCAUUGAUUACGUCCCUGCCCUUUGUACACACCGCCCGUCGCUCCUACCGAUUGAAUGAUCCGAUGAAUAUCAUGGAUUGAGGAUGCAAGUAGGUUCGCCUAUCUUCAUCUUCGAGAAGUGAAGUAAAUCUUAUCAUUUAGAGGAAGGAGAAGUCGUAACA
rnacentral:rRNA from 1 species